GGAAUAUUGGACAAUGGGCGAAAGCCUGAUCCAGCAAUGCCGCGUGAGUGAUGAAGGCCCUAGGGUUGUAAAGCUCUUUUACCAGGGAGGAUAAUGACAGUACCUGGAGAAUAAGCUCCGGCUAACUCCGGGCCAGCAGCCGCGGUAAUACGGAGGGAGCAAGCGUGGUUCGGAAUUCCUGGGAGUAAAGCGCACGUAGGCGGCGAUUCAAGUCAGAGGUGAAAGCCCGGGGCUCAACCCCGGAACUGCCUUUGAAACUAGAUUGCUAGAAUCCUGGAGAGGCGAGUGGAAUUCCGAGUGUAGAGGUGAAAUUCGUAGAUAUUCGGAAGAACACCAGUGGCGAAGGCGACUCGCUGGACAGGUAUUGACGCUGAGGUGCGAAAGCGUGGGGAGCAAAC
rnacentral:rRNA from 1 species